CUUGGUCAUUUAGAGGAAGUAAAAGUCGUAACAAGGUUUCCGUAGGUGAACCUGCGGAAGGAUCAUUAAACAUUUUAUUUUAUCCAUAUGGAUGAUUUAAAAAAUCCAUAUCCACCCUUGUGUGAAUUCACUGAAAAAGUUAUACUUCGGUAGCGUUGAAUGAGAAUGCUUUUUAAAGUAACUGGUGUUCGAAAUUCAUGUUGCCGAAAGUAUUUUUUAAUUUUCAUCACUCUUCAAAAAUUUUAUAUCUUAUUUUACGAAAUUUUAAUAUUUCAACCAAAAAUUUAAUACAACUUUCAACAACGGAUCUCUUGGCUCUCGCAUCGAUGAAGAACGCAGCGAAAUGCGAUAAAUAAUGUGAAUUGCAGAAUUCAGUGAAUCAUCGAAUCUUUGAACGCAUAUUGCGCUCUCUGGUAUUCCGGAGAGCAUGCCUGUUUCAGUAUCAGUAUUACCCCUCAAACUAAAAAUAUUUUUUAGUUUUGGAUUUGAACGUCCGGUUGAAUUGUAAUCUUUUUUAUGAUAUAACCACGUUUGAAAUAAAGCCACUUGAGGUUUCGCAGACCCCAGAACAAGGCGAAAAGCGUAAUAGUUGACCUUUUUUGGUCAUCUUCUUCGCUGAAAGCCUUUUGUUUUGGGAAAAGUUUGCAAAAUCUUGUAUGUGAUUGCAGGAAAAACUACUAUUAAUUUAGUCUAUUUUCUUGAUCUGAAAUCAGGUAGGAUUACCCGCUGAACUUAAGCAUAUCAAUAAGCGGAGGAAAAGAAACUAACAAGGAUUCCCUUAGUAACGGCGAGUGAAGCGGGAAAAGCUCAAAUUUAAAAUCUCGUCGGUUUCUCCGGCGCGAAUUGUAGUUUAUGGAAGCGUUUUUUCGGCAGAAGCCUAGGUACAAGUCCUUUGGAACAGGGUAUCAUAGAGGGUGAGAAUCCCGUCUCUGACCUUGGUUUUUCUGCUAUGUGAUACGUUCUCCGAGAGUCAGGUUGUUUGGGAAUGCAGCCUAAAAUGGGUGGUAAAUUUCAUCUAAAGCUAAAUAUUGGCGAGAGACCGAUAGCGAACAAGUACCGUGAGGGAAAGAUGAAAAGAACUUUGAAAAGAGAGUUAAACAGUACGUGAAAUUGUUGAAAGGGAAACGUUUGGAUCCAACAAUGCUUGCGGUGUGAUCAUCUUCGGGUGCUCUCACCCGUUAGCAAGUUAGCGUCGGUUUGGAUUGCCGGAUAAAAACCAAGGGAAUGUGGCUCACUUUCGGGAGAGUGUUAUAGCCCUGGUCGAUACGGUGAUCUGGACUGAGGUCUGCAGCCGAACUUUUUGUUGGGGUCACAGCCGCUGGGUGCGCGUCUAUGGUAGACAGCUUGCUGACUAUUGUAGAAGGAGUCGUGUCCACACGGUCGUUUUACCUACACUUCCGGCUUAGGUCGCUGACUUAAUGGUUCCAAAUGACCCGUCUUGAAACACGGACC
rnacentral:rRNA from 1 species